UGGUGGGUAGUUUGACUGGGGCGGUCUCCUCCUAAAGAGUAACGGAGGAGCACGAAGGUUGGCUAAUCCUGGUCGGACAUCAGGAGGUUAGUGCAAUGGCAUAAGCCAGCUUGACUGCGAGCGUGACGGCGCGAGCAGGUGCGAAAGCAGGUCAUAGUGAUCCGGUGGUUCUGAAUGGAAGGGCCAUCGCUCAACGGAUAAAAGGUACUCCGGGGAUAACAGGCUGAUACCGCCCAAGAGUUCAUAUCGACGGCGGUGUUUGGCACCUCGAUGUCGGCUCAUCACAUCCUGGGGCUGAAGUAGGUCCCAAGGGUAUGGCUGUUCGCCAUUUAAAGUGGUACGCGAGCUGGGUUUAGAACGUCGUGAGACAGUUCGGUCCCUAUCUGCCGUGGGCGCUGGAGAAUUGAGGGGGGCUGCUCCUAGUACGAGAGGACCGGAGUGGACGCAUCACUGGUGUUCGGGUUGUCAUGCCAAUGGCACUGCCCGGUAGCUAAAUGCGGAAGAGAUAAGUGCUGAAAGCAUCUAAGCACGAAACUUGCCCCGAGAUG
rnacentral:rRNA from 1 species